GUUGACAUGUGGUUAGGAAGUAAGCGUCUUGCUAUUACUGGGACUUUGUUUUGGUAUACUUAUCUCUCAAAAGAUGCCGAAAAGACCCCGUUCCGAGGAGUAUUCGAGUCCUCUGCAACUCAAGACGCAUGUUGGCGACAAACAGAUGAAUGAGUCGAAGGAAGAAAACAUGAAAGCCGUUUACGAUAAAACCCGUACUUUAUUGUAUAGUGCCAAUGCCAGCAAAACAAGUAAUGGUGUGCCUAAAGUGAAUGGAGACUGCAAUGGUUCUAAUAUUGUGCCUAUUUUACCAAGUGGACAAACAGUUAUUAAUUGUGAAGGGAAAAUUGUACCAGCAACCCAAGCAAAGCCUAGUGAUAUACCAGGUAAUGGCUGCAGACAUUGUAAUAGACAACAGUGUUCAUUGUCACCUUGUCAUUAUUGUGAAAAGACUAUAUGUAAUCGAUGUCAACGUUAUUGUGACAACUGUAUGCAGGCGUACUGUCUAUUUUGUACCAUUAUAAACUAUGAUGAUCAGUAUGAGAAGCGUCUGUGUGUCAACUGUGCAUAGAAGACAAGUAUGUCACCAUGGAUACCAUUGUUUACUUAAUCCAAGAUGACUGGACAUUCUACAUUGUUAUGUUACUGGUAUUGAUGUUUCCAUGACUACAUUGUGUGUUCUCACUCUUAUUAGAUCACAAAAUCAAUGGUUUUGUUGCCAUCAGCAACUAUAUUGGUUCUGAUAAAGGCUGGCUUUUGAAUGAGAGCACACAAAUGAAUUCUGAUCACAGAUUACCUCAUAGCCAGUCACUUUAUGUGAACUUUGCUUUACAACCUAGGAUAAAAUAGUGUGUAUGUUGCAUAUUGUGUAAUAUACAAGUUAUCCAUACUGUGCUUUAUAGGAAUUACCGAACUCGGUGGUAACUACAAUUGACAUAGAGACAGAAAACAAUACAGCACAUGGUGACCAUUUGACAUAGAGACAGAAAACAAUACAGCACAUGGUGACCAUUUGACAUAGAGACAGAAAACAAUACAGCACAUGGUGACCAUUUGACAUAGAGACAGAAAACAAUACAGCACAUGGUGACCAUUUGACAUAGAGACAGAAAACAAUACAGCACAUGGUGACCAUUUGACAUAGAGACAGAAAACAAUACAGCACAUGGUGACCAUUUGACAUAGAGACAGAAAACAAUACAGCACAUGGUGACCAUUUGACAUAGAGACAGAAUACAAUACAGCACAUGGUGACCAUUUGACAUAGAGACAGAAAACAAUACAGCACAUGGUGACCAUUUGACAUGGAGACAGAAAACAAUACAGCACAUGGUGACCAUUUGACAUAGAGACAGAAUACAAUACAGCACAAGGUGACCAUUUGACAUAGAGACAGAAAACAAUACAGCACAUGAUGACCAUUACCACUGUACACCAUGUUACAUGAAAUGGUCACAUUGAACCCUCAUCUCUCGCUAUGCAUACAAGAAACAGUCAUACUAUUCUGUCCUCGGUUGUACUUGUACAUAAAUGUAAUACAUACUGCCAGCUAUCUAAUGUGUUAUGCCUUUAUAUAUAUAUAUAUAAACUAUAGUCUGUUGUUAUACACAGAAACUCUAUAUUUUGUAUCAGAAUUUUGUUUUAUUAUAUUUGUAUUUGACAAAUUUUGGGUGGCUUUACUUUGUUGAUAGAGUGAAAAAGUAUAAAUAGCAAAACAUGUAUACCAAUAUGCAACAUUGAUAAUCUACCGAUAACAUUUAUAAUUUAAGUGUACACAAUUCUCGGAUUUGUUGUUUUCUAACAGCACAUGAAAAAACAAAAAUAGUAAAAAAAAUAAAACAAUUUCAUCAAGAGGUUAGUAUGUAGUGUGGUGUAGUGUGGUGUAGUGUAGUGUAGUGUAGUGUAGUGUGGUGUAGUGUAGUGUGGUGUAGUGUAGUGUAGUGUGGUGUAGUGUAGUGUGGUGUGGUGUGGUGUGGUGUGGUGUGGUGUGGUGUGGUGUGGUGUGGUGUGGUGUGGUGUAGUGUGGUGUGGUGUAGUGUGGCGGGAAGAUGGCGGACUGGUUCUGAAAAAGUUAUAUAUACUUAUACACAACACAAACAAUGGUUCCCACAUUCAUUGACAAAGGUAACUGAACAAUCACCAUCUUGUACGGUACCAGGAUUGGAAUUUCAGGCACGUAACAAAAUGUUUGUAACAUUUUACUAUCUGUUCUAAUGUAACCAAUGGUACAAUUUGUCUAUUUGGUCUGCAACAUCCAAGCAGUCUCAGACUGAACAUCGCGUGGUUGUAGCAUUUCUGAUUUGUAUAUUUCACUGUCUUGUACAUAAAACGUACAUUCUGUAUUUUAAUGCAGCUCCAUGUGUUAAAAGAACAAAGAAUAAACUUGAACAACCAAUCA
rnacentral:misc_RNA from 1 species